rnacentral:rRNA from 1 species
AUUGAACGCUGGCGGCAGGCUUAACACAUGCAAGUCGAGCGGGGAAGGUUGCUUCGGUAACUGACCUAGCGGCGGACGGGUGAGUAAUGCUUAGGAAUCUGCCUAUUAGUGGGGGACAACAUUCCGAAAGGGAUGCUAAUACCGCAUACGUCCUACGGGAGAAAGCAGGGGAUCAUUUGACCUUGCGCUAAUAGAUGAGCCUAAGUCGGAUUAGCUAGUUGGUAGGGUAAAGGCCUACCAAGGCGACGAUCUGUAGCGGGUCUGAGAGGAUGAUCCGCCACACUGGGACUGAGACACGGCCCAGACUCCUACGGGAGGCAGCAGUGGGGAAUAUUGGACAGUGGGGGGAACCCUGAUCCAGCCAUGCCGCGUGUGUGAAGAAGGCCUUUUGGUUGUAAAGCACUUUAAGCGAGGAGGAGGCUCUCUUGGUUAAUACCUGAGAAGAGUGGACGUUACUCGCAGAAUAAGCACCGGCUAACUUCGUGCCAGCAGCCGCCGUAA